GGAGUUAGCCGGUCGCUUCUUCUGUGAGUGAUGUCCUUCCUGCCGGCUAUUAACCCGCAGGCCUUCUUCCUCACUGAAAGUGCUUUACAACCCGAAGGCCUUCUUCACACACGCGGCAUGGCUGGAUCAGGGUUGCCCCCAUUGUCCAAUAUUCCCCACUGCUGCCUCCCGUAGGAGUCUGGGCCGUGUCUCAGUCCCAGUGUGGCUGAUCAUCCUCUCAGACCAGCUACGGAUCGUCGCCUUGGUGAGCCGUUACCUCACCAACCAGCUAAUCCGACAUAGGCUCAUCCGAUAGCGCGAGGCCCGAAGGUCCCCCGCUUUCCCCCGUAGGGCGUAUGCGGUAUUAGCCUGGGUUUCCCCAGGUUAUCCCCCACUACCGGGCAGAUUCCUAUGCAUUACUCACCCGUCCGCCGCUCGCCACCAGGGAGCAAGCUCCCCGUGCUGCCGCUCGACUUGCAUGUGUUAGGCCUGCCGCCAGCGUUCAAUCUGAGCCAUAAUCAAACUCUGA
rnacentral:rRNA from 1 species